rnacentral:rRNA from 1 species
AACGAACGCUGGCGGCAUGCCUAACACAUGCAAGUCGAACGAGACCUUCGGGCCUAGUGGCGCACGGGUGCGUAACGCGUGGGAACCUGCCCUUAGGUUCGGAAUAACUCCCCGAAAGGGGUGCUAAUACCGGAUAAUGUCUUCGGACCAAAGAUUUAUCGCCUUUGGAUGGGCCCGCGUUGGAUUAGCUAGUUGGUAGGGUAAAAGCCUACCAAGGCGACGAUCCAUAGCUGGUCUGAGAGGAUGAUCAGCCACACUGGGACUGAGACACGGCCCAGACUCCUACGGGAGGCAGCAGUGGGGAAUAUAGGACAAUGGGCGAAAGCCUGAUCCAGCAGUGCCGCGAGAGUGAUGAAGGCCUUAGGGUUGUAAAGCUCUUUUACCCGGGAUGAUAAUGACAGUACCGGGAGAAUAAGCUCCGGCUAACUCCGU